UACGUAGGGGGCGAGCGUUAUCCGGAUUUAUUGGGCAUAAAGGGCAUGUAGGCGGUAAUUUAAGUCAGACGUGAAAUACAACGGCCUAACCGUUGCUUGCAUUUGAUACUGGAUUACUAGAGAUCAGGAGAGGAAAGUGGAACUCAUGGUGUAGCGGUGAAAUGCGUAGAUAUCAUGAGGAACACCAGUGGCGAAGGCGGCUUUCUGGACUGAUUCUGACGCUGAGAUGCGAAAGCGUGGGGAGCAAACAGG
rnacentral:rRNA from 1 species